rnacentral:rRNA from 1 species
AGCAGCCGCGGUAAUUCCAGCUCCAAUAGCGUAUAUUAAAGUUGCUGCAGUUAAAAAGCCCGUAGUCGAACUUCAGGCCUGGCCGGGCGGUCUGCCUCACGGUACGUACUGUCUGGCCGGGUCUUACCUCUUGGUGAGCCGGCAUGCCCUUCACUGGGUGUGUCGGGGAACCAGGACUUUUACCUUGAGAAAAUUAGAGUGUUCAAAGCAGGCCUAUGCCCGAAUACAUUAGCAUGGAAUAAUAGAAUAGGACGUGCGGUUCUAUUUUGUUGGUUUCUAGAGUCGCCGUAAUGAUUAAUAGGGACAGUUGGGGGCAUUGGUAUUCAGGCGCUAGAGGUGAAAUUCUUGGAUUGCCUGAAGACUAACUACUGCGAAAGCAUUCGCCAAGGAUGUUUUCAUUAAUCAGGGAACGAAAGUUAGGGGAUCGAAGACGAUCAGAUACCGUCGUAGUCUUAACCAUAAACUAUGCCGACUAGGGAUCGGAUGAUGUUAAUUUUAUAAUGACUCA